rnacentral:rRNA from 1 species
CGAACCGUGCGAACGUUGUUCGGAAUCACUGGGCUUAAAGGGCGCGUAGGCGGCCGGGUUGGUCGUGGGUGAAAUCCCCCAGCUUAACUGGGGAACUGCCUACGAUACUGCCUGGCUCGAGGGAGGAAGGGGCGGUCGGAACUGUCGGUGGAGCGGUGAAAUGCGUUGAUAUCGACAGGAACGCCGGUGGCGAAAGCGGACCGCUGGCCCUCUUCUGACGCUGAUGCGCGAAAGCCAGGGGAGCGAACGGGAUUAGAUACCCCGGUAGUCCUGGCCUUAAACGAUGGGCACUAGGUAGUGGGCUCGACCUGGGCGCACUGCCGCAGCGAAAGUCAUUAGUGCCCCGCCUGGGGAGUAUGGUCGCAAGGCUG